CAGCACAUCUCUUCCAGGCAAACACCACCCAGGCACCAGCAAGAGGGAACUGGCUUGCAAGGUUGGUCCUGUUCCACUUCUCACAGCCGGGCUGGAGGUUCCUGGGCACCUGUGCCAAGGCUCUGCUGUGUGCCCCAAGCCAGUGCAGGUUUGGUGUCUGCUUCCACAGCAGCUUUUCUGCAGUCAUCAACUGAUCGCCAUCAAAGCAGGGCAGCAUCAGAUUUCAGGAGGAAGAUGCAGUAGGCUGUUGCAGCUGAGGCGUGCUCCCUGCAAAGGGCAGUUUGAUGGAGGAAAUGAGGGAUGCCUUGUCAAAGGGCUGCUCUUUUUGGAGAGGAGCUCUGCUCUCUGAAAUCGCUGUGCCAAAUCUGCCUGGAGCUCCUGCUGUGCAAAUCCCCACCCAUGGCUUCUGCCCUGCCAGAAACACCAGUGCCUCAUCACCAUGAACUGGCCCCGUGCAGGCCCAAAGCUACAGACAAACGUGGUUUUCCUGGUUCCUCUCCUCCUUCUUGCCUGUAGGUCAGAGCAUCAGACAUGCGCUGCUCUGCAUGCGGCGACCUGCGGCCCUACCAGUGGCACAGCUACCAGUUCCACAUUUAAAGCAAGACUCAUUGCCAAGAAAAAUCUCCUAGAAAGUCCCACACCCCCACUUUUUUAUUCCUUGCACUCUGGUGUGACGUGUCUCUCAGGCAGCACAGCUCCCCAGGCUUCUAAUGACCAUGUUGUGAGGGUUUGCUAACUGCUGCAUUAUGUUGCCUGCAAAAAUCAGGCUACACAGCUGCAGUCCUCAUCCUGUUCAGCAGACUGGGAAGCAGAGGCACGGAAUGGAAAGGACCAUCCCUUUCCAAAACCUUCUGGUGGUUUUUGGCUAGCUCUGGAUUAAGUUGCCAUGCUCAGAUGGGUCAGCGACUGCUGGCCCAAGUGGCGUGCCCAUGGACACACAAAUAAUCAGUAGCAAACACCCAAGCAGAAGCCAAACCCUUGAGACACAAUGCUGUGGUACAAAUUUGUGCUCAUCCUUAAUUUUUUUAGGAGCUAAUCCUUUGUCCUUGAAGGAAGAGGAAUUUUCUAUAAAUGUGGUAUUUUUUUACACCUCACUGUGUGUUUAAUGUUUAACAAUGGGAUCAUUAUGGUUUUAUUAGCAGCGUGUAACGCUUUGUCAUCUUCAACUGACUUUGCAAACAUUAACUAAUUGAUCUCAACUAUGAAUCAGUGGUGGUAACUAGGAAGGGAGGUGAAGUGGUCUGCUGGUGCUCGCUGGGGAAGUGGUUGUCAGAGCAGGGCACAGAAAGCAGGGCUCACAUUUUGCUGCUCAGACCACGAACACGACAGCUUUAUUAGUGUUAUUUCCAUUAGUGCUGCUGUCAGGGAGGGCUACUCUGUGUGCAAUAAA